rnacentral:rRNA from 1 species
UGGGGAAUAUUGCACAAUGGGCGCAAGCCUGAUGCAGCCAUGCCGCGUGUGUGAAGAAGGCCUUCGGGUUGUAAAGCACUUUCAGCGGGGAGGAAGGCGUUAAGGUUAAUAACCUUGGCGAUUGACGUUACCCGCAGAAGAAGCACCGGCUAACUCCGUGCCAGCAGCCGCGGUAAUACGGAGGGUGCAAGCGUUAAUCGGAAUUACUGGGCGUAAAGCGCACGCAGGCGGUCUGUUAAGUCGGAUGUGAAAUCCCCGGGCUCAACCUGGGAACUGCAUUCGAAACUGGCAGGCUAGAGUCUUGUAGAGGGGGGUAGAAUUCCAGGUGUAGCGAUGAAAUGCGUAGAGAUCUGGAGGAAUACCGGUGGCGAAGGCGGCCCCCUGGACAAAGACUGACGCUCAGGUGCGAAAGCGUGGGGAGCAAACAGG